GAUUGCUUUUCGUUGUCCUUUUGAUAGAAGUUUCAGCUAAUUGAAACCACGGGGUGUGAUUCUUCAUCUUUUCUACAUAAACAAUUUUAGUGGGAACAAAUAUGGGCGAUGUUAUAGUAUGGGAGGUGGGCAGCCGUGCAAGGAUCACUCUAAGAAAUUUCAAGGUUUGGGAUCUAGGAUCAUGUUCAGUGACGCUGCAUGUAUAGAAGUUCAAUUCUAAAUAAAAUCAAACUAUUCUGUUUUUGGCCAUGUGAUUGUGGGUUUUGAUUCUUUGUAGGCAUCUCUGGCCAAUGCUUAUAUAGCAUCAGUCAACCGUGUAAUGUGGAGUCCCAAUGGAACCCUUUUUGGUGUUGCUUAUUCCAAACACAUGGUGCACAUAUACUCAUAUCAUGGCAGUGAUGACAUAAGGAACCACCUUGAGAUCGAGGCUCAUGUUGGAAGUGUUAAUGAUCUUGGUUUUUCAUGUCCAAACAAACAGUUAUGUGUUGUUACUUGUGGAGAUGACUAGUUGAUUAAGGUAUAUUCUGAUUGUUUUGCUUAGUGUCAUAGGUUGUGCUGUUUGACUCUUUUUACCCAAGCUAGUAGUUAUGCAGGUGUGGGAUGCAGCGACUGGGGCUAAGCAGCACAGUUUCAAGGGUCAUGAAGCACCUAUAUA